rnacentral:rRNA from 1 species
AUCUCAAGUCAUAUCACGUAAAAACUACUGGUUCACGUUCAAUCACCAAAAUCAAGCUAUGUCGGGUACAGCUAGUAUUUCGAUGUAUAACUUGGAAAUAUUGUGUAUUUUUUAUU